rnacentral:rRNA from 1 species
GACGAACGCUGGCGGCGUGCUUAACACAUGCAAGUCGAACGGAAAGGCCCUGCUUUUGUGGGGUGCUCGAGUGGCGAACGGGUGAGUAACACGUGAGUAACCUGCCCUUGACUUUGGGAUAACUUCAGGAAACUGGGGCUAAUACCGGAUAGGAGCUCCUGCUGCAUGGUGGGGGUUGGAAAGUUUCGGCGGUUGGGGAUGGACUCGCGGCUUAUCAGCUUGUUGGUGGGGUAGUGGCUUACCAAGGCUUUGACGGGUAGCCGGCCUGAGAGGGUGACCGGCCACAUUGGGACUGAGAUACGGCCCAGACUCCUACGGGAGGCAGCAGUGGGGAAUAUUGCACAAUGGGCGGAAGCCUGAUGCAGCAACGCCGCGUGCGGGAUGACGGCCUUCGGGUUGUAAACCGCUUUCGCCUGUGACGAAGCGUGAGUGACGGUAAUGGGUAAAGAAGCACCGGCUAACUACGUGCCAGCAGCCGCGGUGAUACGUAGGGUGCGAGCGUUGUCCGGAUUUAUUGGGCGUAAAGGGCUCGUAGGUGGUUGAUCGCGUCGGAAGUGUAAUCUUGGGGCUUAACCCUGAGCGUGCUUUCGAUACGGGUUGACUUGAGGAAGGUAGGGGAGAAUGGAAUUCCUGGUGGAGCGGUGGAAUGCGCAGAUAUCAGGAGGAACACCAGUGGCGAAGGCGGUUCUCUGGGCCUUUCCUGACGCUGAGGAGCGAAAGCGUGGGGAGCGAACAGGCUUAGAUACCCUGGUAGUCCACGCUGUAAACGGUGGGUACUAGGUGUGGGGUCCAUUCCACGGGUUCCGUGCCGUAGCUAACGCUUUAAGUACCCCGCCUGGGGAGUACGGCCGCAAGGCUAAAACUCAAAGGAAUUGACGGGGCCCCGCACAAGCGGCGGAGCAUGCGGAUUAAUUCGAUGCAACGCGUAGAACCUUACCUGGGUUUGACAUGGAUCGGGAGUGCUCAGAGAUGGGUGUGCCUCUUUUGGGGUCGGUUCACAGGUGGUGCAUGGCUGUCGUCAGCUCGUGUCGUGAGAUGUUGGGUUAAGUCCCGCAACGAGCGCAACCCUUGUUCACUGUUGCCAGCACGUUAUGGUGGGGACUCAGUGGAGACCGCCGGGGUCAACUCGGAGGAAGGUGGGGAUGACGUCAAGUCAUCAUGCCCCUUAUGUCCAGGGCUUCACGCAUGCUACAAUGGCUGGUACAGAGAGUGGCGAGCCUGUGAGGGUGAGCGAAUCUCGGAAAGCCGGUCUCAGUUCGGAUUGGGGUCUGCAACUCGACCUCAUGAAGUCGGAGUCGCUAGUGAUCGCAGAUCAGCAACGCUGCGGUGAAUACGUUCCCGGG